rnacentral:rRNA from 1 species
UACGGAGGGGGCUAGCGUUGUUCGGAAUUACUGGGCGUAAAGCGCGCGUAGGCGGACCUGCAAGUUGGGGGUGAAAGCCCGAGGCUCAACCUCGGAACUGCCUUCGAUACUGCGGUCGUCGAGUCCGGGAGAGGUGAGUGGAAUUCCGUAGUGUAGAGGUGAAAUUCGUAGAUAUUCGCAAGAACACCAGUGGCGAAGGCGGCUUCCUGGCCCAAUACUGACGUUCAGGUACGA